CUGCUCAGGACGAACGCUGGCGGCGUGCCUAAUACAUGCAAGUCGAGCGGACAGAUGGGAGCUUGCUCCCUGAUGUUAGCGGCGGACGGGUGAGUAACACGUGGGUAACCUGCCUGUAAGACUGGGAUAACUCCGGGAAACCGGGGCUAAUACCGGAUGGUUGUUUGAACCGCAUGGUUCAGACAUAAAAGGUGGCUUCGGCUACCACUUACAGAUGGACCCGCGGCGCAUUAGCUAGUUGGUGAGGUAACGGCUCACCAAGGCGACGAUGCGUAGCCGACCUGAGAGGGUGAUCGGCCACACUGGGACUGAGACACGGCCCAGACUCCUACGGGAGGCAGCAGUAGGGAAUCUUCCGCAAUGGACGAAAGUCUGACGGAGCAACGCCGCGUGAGUGAUGAAGGUUUUCGGAUCGUAAAGCUCUGUUGUUAGGGAAGAACAAGUGCCGUUCAAAUAGGGCGGCACCUUGACGGUACCUAACCAGAAAGCCACGGCUAACUACGUGCCAGCAGCCGCGGUAAUACGUAGGUGGCAAGCGUUGUCCGGAAUUAUUGGGCGUAAAGGGCUCGCAGGCGGUUUCUUAAGUCUGAUGUGAAAGCCCCCGGCUCAACCGGGGAGGGUCAUUGGAAACUGGGGAACUUGAGUGCAGAAGAGGAGAGUGGAAUUCCACGUGUAGCGGUGAAAUGCGUAGAGAUGUGGAGGAACACCAGUGGCGAAGGCGACUCUCUGGUCUGUAACUGACGCUGAGGAGCGAAAGCGUGGGGAGCGAACAGGAUUAGAUACCCUGGUAGUCCACGCCGUAAACGAUGAGUGCUAAGUGUUAGGGGGUUUCCGCCCCUUAGUGCUGCAGCUAACGCAUUAAGCACUCCGCCUGGGA
rnacentral:rRNA from 1 species